ensembl:lncRNA LINC00924 long intergenic non-protein coding RNA 924
GGUACGAUGGCCCUGCCUUGUGUCACUAUUUUAUUCGGCAGUUCCAGCCUGGUUCUGUCACAUUGUCUCAUCACAAAAUUGGAUUGCACAGAACUCAAAUGGAGAGGACGUUCAAACUCAGGAAUGUGGAGCACUCAUCAUCUGCUGUGGUCAAAGAGACAAUCUGUGAAGAAAGUGAACAAGGCAGAUGGAGAUAAAUUCAAAAACAGAGAUCCGAAAGGCUGCUAAGAGAGAAAGGAACAGGAAUCUCCCAGUUCCUGAGAGCCUCCCAGGCUUUCUCCCUCGAUGUUUGGAGUUUUAUGCCUAUGUAAUCAGUGCAGACAGCCGUUAAGUAAAUGAAGAGGCAACUAACAAUGUCAGAAAAGAGACCGGGCGGUUCCGGCUGACACUACCCUAAUCUUCCAGGACCCAUUAAAUGGUAGUUUCAACGCAUUACCUACCAUAACAUCCUUGAAUAUCACUGAUUUUAUUUGCAGUAUCAAACAUUCCAUUUCAUGCCCCAUUAACAGUGGGAGCCUGGGCUUUUUGACGCAGCUAAACAUUUUACUAACUACCUGGACUAAGUAACCAAUUAACUUUUGGAGACAAUACGGCCAAUUAAGCGCGAAAAGAAAAUUUGGAAAACAGGCUUUUCCUAUCCGGAUGAACAGAGAUAAUUUGUGUCGAUGGAUGUUCUGUGAAGGCCUAUUGUGUCGAGCAGCGUAUUAAAACAUAAACAUGGCUCUUCCCCCAAGAAACUUACAUUUCAGUAAGGGAGCCUGGCCAAAAUGGAAAACUGCAAGGUUCAAAUCCUGGAGUGCAGAAGAAGCAUUAGGCAUUGACCCUGUGGCUUCCUAAUAGAUCCGCAAAGUGCUUUGUUCCUGGAAAUCAUCCGAUGAGUAGUUCAGUGCUAUUGUAUAUCUUGUUAGAGCAGCCGAAGUGCCACAAAAUGAACUAAAAUCUCCCUGCAGAGUUGCUGUAUCAUAUGCUGAGAACAUUCGGAACUUUCAACAAAUUCAUGUUACGAUCCUGGGUAGCCAUGGUUAAAUCUGUACAGGGGUUAAAUGAGAAAUAUGAGCCUGCUGUUAAGUGUCUUCUGAGAGUGACAAAGCUCUGGCCAUAAGGGAUGGGAGAGGAGGGAUUUCUUCUCAGCCUUCCAGCCCUUUCCAGCUGUAUCACAGACAGGAGACAUAAUGCAAAGGGGCUCAGACAUUGACUUCCUGGAUCUUUGCGGCCCCAGGCAUUGACCCCCUCUACCUGGCUUUUCCUACGCUGUAAAAUGAGGAUCCUCCUAUAUUAUGGAGUUUAUUGUGACAACUAAAUAGCUGAGAAGAAGGACAUCUCAUUUGUUUUAACUAUGCAGUUUCCUGUCUAUCUAUCUAUCUAUCCCAUCAAUCUAUCAAUCAAUCUAUCAAUCUGUCUAUCCCUAUCUAUCUAUCCAUCUAUCUAUCUAUAUCUGUCUAUAUCUAUCUAACAUUUAUCUAUCAUCUAUUCAUCUAUCAGCUAUCUUCUGUCUAUCAAUAUUUCAAUCAAUCUCUCUAUCCCUAUCAAUUAAUCUAUCUACCUACCUAUCAACUAUCCAUCUAUCUCUAUCAUCUAUCAUCUAUUCAUCUAUCAUUUAUCAUCUGUCAAUCCAUCUUCCUACUAUCUAUCAAAAGCAACACAUUUUCUUCCUGACUUUAAAAAUAUUUAAGUGGGCCGGGAGGAUGGCUCACGCCUGUAAUCCCAGCACUUUGGGAGGCCUAGGCGGGCGGAUCACGAGGUCAGGAGAUGGAGACCAUCCUGGCUAACAUGGUGAAACCCCGUCUCUACUAAAAAUACAAAAAAAAAAAAAAAUUAACCAGGCGUGGUGGAGGGCGCCUGUAGUCCCAGCUACUCGGGAGACUGAGGCAGGAGAAUGGGGAGAACCCGGGAGGCGGAGCUUGCAGUGAGCCGAGAUCAUGCCACUGCACUCCAGCCUGGGCGACAGAGCAAGACUCCAUCUCAAAAGAAACAAAAACAAAAACGUAAGUGAUACUCUGUCCACUCUUUUGAUUGAGGAGGUCUGAUUUUCAGGCUUUGGAUUUUAUUAUGUCUUCAAUAUAAUAAUUGUUCCAUGUAUCUCUCCUAAAUUGCCAUUUGAAAAACUGCUUUUCUGAAGUUUAAAGUGCACAUUUUGAUACAUCUUGACACAUAUAUACACCCAUGAAAUCAUCACCACAAUCAGGAUAGUAGAUCUAUCCAUUACCGCCAAGGUUUACUUGCACUCCUUUGAACUUUCUCCCCACUCCUCACCCCCUGCCUAUCCCCAAUCCUUAAGCAAUCACUGAUUUGCUUUCUGUCACUAUCAGUUAAUUUGAAUUUUUCAGAAAUGUAUAUAAAUAAAAUCAUUCGACGUGUAUGCUCUUUUUCUGUUCACCCGGUACAAUUUGAGAUUUAGCCAUGUUUUUGCAUGUGUCAAUAGUUUAUUUUUUUGUUGCUCAGUACUAAUCCAUUUUAUGGAUACAGAGAAAUGUAUUAAUGCAAUCCCAUAUUAAUAGGCAUUUGGGUUGUUUCCAGGUUUGGGCUGUUACAAAUAAAGCUGCUAUGAACAUUUUUGUGCAAGUCUU